rnacentral:rRNA from 1 species
GAGCCCAAGCCCACCUGACGCGGUGGCCACACAGCAGACCAAGUUGCGUUUCGGCGUGGCGUGGCGCGCGGCGCCUGCGUGCCUUUUUUCCGCCGAGGGAUGGCGGCGACCGCGUCCGUGCGCGGGGUUGAGCGGGUUGGGGGUGGGACGGCGGCCGGCGCCUACUGCGGGCGCUGAGGGUGGCGGCGGCGCGGGUAGGCGGUCGUGGAGGGGAGGAGGAGCCGCGCGACGCCGUUGGGCGCGGGGUCGCGGGCGGACGCGGACGGGCGAGCGGGGGCGCGGCGGGGGAGCCGGAGGUACAGGCGGCUCCGCGCCGGCCGCGGCAGCGGGCACGGCGGCGGCCGCGUGGGGUGGAUGCUGGAGUCGCGGCAGUAGCGGGAGCGGGAGAGGCUCCUGCGGCCGCUGGCUCCCCUACACAGCACAAACCGAUGGUAUGGUUGGCUACAUUUCCGACUUCGGUGAAAAUAGCGAUUCCUCCUACCACAGUAGCGUCCGUAUUCGGAUCGACUCUACUAUAAAUUGGUCCAACUAGGCAGCAACUUCCAACUUACCAAACUCCGACUACCUUUAAUACAGGCAUUCCCUAACGUCAAACCGUUUCAUAUACCCACACGAGUCUCAUAGUAACAACGACUCUCCCAACACGAUUUAAAGUACGUUUCUUACUCACCUUAGCGAUGUUACUGCUUCCGGUACCGACUACGACGAGCAGGUCGUACGUAUGACCUUUGUUCUUUUUGACGAGGUCCAAAUGCAGACCAACUGUUCACCCGUCAUGAUUAACCACCACCCUUCUUAGUGUCCGAACCUAAUAAACUAUACCAAUACUAUUUUCUAUUAGUAUAAAGACAACGACCCCCGUAAUGUUUACGUUACUGUAGACAACUAGUCAAGAACCUCUUCCUUUUAGAACGUUAAGGACAACUCCAACUCUGCUCCUGUGAGCUCCUUCAAUCUCUAAAUAACUUCAUAUGGCUACUCUUGUUCUGAAGUAAUUGAGCAUAUUACAACCUAUUAUACCAACAUGGAGAAGGAUUACCCCUAGAUCUACAUAGUUACGAGUUUCUACGUCAAGUCAACUAUUUACCUUCUAAACUCUGUCUCCGUAGACCUUUACACUGCUAGCUAUGCCACUUCUUUUAGCCUCUUUGACCUCAAUGUAUGUAAAGUUCACCUCGCAACUGCGUAAGGCACUUCCGCGAGCUGUAUAGAGAGUUCUAUCUGUGGCUCGACCGAGAAGUUCAACCUUCCGCGUGUUUAGCGCGGACUGUGGUGUCCAACUCAAGGUGGACACAUUGAACUGGAGGGGAAGAGGAUAUGAACAUACUGGGUUGAGAAACGCCAGUUGUCCUACGAACCGCACAGACCAGCCAAGUAGUAAGCUGCUGCACGAGCGGUGCGACACUAAAGAUUGAUUAUAUCACUUCCUACGGGAGUGUUAAUAGGUCAAUGCCUGGUUGUGGUGUCAUAGAUAUCAUCAUAUGUUGCCUUCUUGUUAUUAUUAUCGGACUUACGGGUCGAAAGUCAGCAACGCUUUGUAAAUUUGACAACUAAUUCUGUCCGCCUUUAACAACGAUUUACCGCACCUUCUCCAACAUACACUGUGGUGUUUUGUGGCCAAAGCGUCCUUGACCCUUGCUUUAUUUUACCAAACAGACGGCGGAAAUGAUUUACUGGCAGACCAUUCUCUCAUUGUCGUCCCUCACCAUUAGAUCUUGGUUUUGACCAACCGACACACAAAAAUCCAAAACGAACCUUUAUUUGACCAGCUCAAGAACUUUUGUUUUGCUCCGGUUCAUUCUGCUCAGACGGUAUCUCCUCAGACUAGCAUAAAAAAAAGGCCCAAACCAUCAAUUCCCGGACAAGCCUCAGAAUGGUGAGGUCUUGAAGUGAGGGCCUCGCCCACAUCUAAGUCGACUUUUAUUUCCUCGCCCCUUUGUGGGCGAGACGUCUAGGAGCAUAAAGAACCUCGGCCGCCUGAUGACUUGUCCCGGAUCUAGAAUUAACUCUUGGUUCUUGUCAACUAGCCUGAGUACAUGAGGGAGACAAAGACUUAUAUUCAGAAACCUCUCUAAGGUGAUAGUUGGUGUAUACCUACAUACGUCUACGUAAAAUCUCACAUCUAAGUAGGUAAAACGAGACAUACAUCAGGUAUCACUUUAGAGAUGUUCCUGAAUAUAUAAAUCCUUGCCUCCUUCAUUGUAAAUAAAAAAAGAGGAUGAUGUCAUCGAGUCUUUUGUUUACGAUGUCAAAAAGCUGAUCUACUUGUUUAGAAAAUACUGUGCG